rnacentral:lncRNA from 1 species
GGUUUGUUUUGUUUUUCAGUUUUGUCUUCUAGUUUUUUUAUUUCUUAAAGAUUCAUUUACUUUAUGUGUGUAUAUGUGAAUGUAUGUAUAUGUACCAUAUAAAUGUAGCUGUCCAUGGACUGCAGAAGAGGGUGUUAGAGCCCCUGAAACUGGAGUUACAGGCAUUUGUAAGUUGCCUGCUUAGAUGCUGGAUACAGAACCUCUCAAGUAGAUAGAUUGCAGAACAGGUCCUCUCCAAGAGUAUCAAGUGCUCUUAACCACUGAGACAUUUCAGCUCCUCAUUGUUGAUGUUGGAGAUGUUGUUGCUGUGUAGCUUUAACUUGACUACAAAGCAGUCCCUAAGCCUCCUGCACAUUAGAAUCAGAAGCAUCAGCCACAAUAUGCAACACUUGAACACAUUUUUACAUUUUUUUAAUCUAGUGUGUAUAUGUGUACAUAUGUGCCACAGUUUGUAUAUGAGGGUCGGAAGCUGACUUUGCAAAGCCAGUUCUCUUCUUCCAAGGAUUGAAUUGUCAAAUUCGGUGGGAAGUUCCUUUACCCAUUGAACCAUCUUCUUAUUGCCCUAAAAUAGUUUUUUGUUUGUGUUUGUUUUGUUUUGAGACAAAAUCUCUUCCCCAAGCUGGAUUAGAACUCCUCACUAGCUGAAAGACCCUUGAACUUCAGAUUCUCCUUCUCCCCGCCUUCUUCCUCAGUGCUGGGUUGUAUUACAGCUGUGCAUUGUCAUACUUAGAUGAUUUUCCUUUUUUCUCCCCUUAAGUUUACCAUGAUUCUCUUUGUCUCUAACCCUAUAUUUGUUUAUUUCUCCAUUCUUAAUAAAUUUCAUUUUGCCUUGGAAAUUGUUAGUAACAGUUACUUUAUUUUGAUGAAAUAUGGUUGUAUUUAGAGUAAGGAGAGGGCUUAUUCCACCUAACAGCUUACAAGUCCUUCUGAAGGGAAGUCAGAACAGAACUAGAACAAAGGCCAUGGAGGUGUGCUGCUUACUGGCUUAUUCUCUCUAGCUUGCUCAGCCUGUUUUCUCAGACACCCCAGGACCACUUGCCCACAAUUGGCACUAUUCACAGUGGGCUGGGUCUUUCCAAGAAAAUCGUUUUUAUCUAAUGGAGACAUUUUAGCAGUUGUGUUUCACCUUUCCUAGCUAACUGUCAAGUUGGCAAAGAGCAGCCAGGAAGGGGAUAGUGCUUGUGGUCUAAUAGUCAAAUUAAAUUAUCACAUAAAGCUUUUUAUUUUUUUAUUUUUUACUUUUUUUGAACCAGGGGUAGUGGCACAUACCUUUAAUCCCAGCAUUUUAGAGACAGGGAUAGAAUGAUCUUGUGGUUUCAAAGCCAGCCUAGUUUUCAAAGUGAGUUCUAGGCCUGCCAAGGCUACACUGUAAGACCCUGUUCCAAUCAAUCGAUCAACCAAUCAAUAAACAAAUAAAUAAGGCUAAACAAUGAGACCUUGUUUAAAUAAAUACAUAAGU